rnacentral:sRNA from 2 species
AAUCCCGUGGCGCCCUCCUGCGCCCGGGAACCGGGGACCCACCUAGACCUGGGGUGAACUCACGGCCCUAUCCAGGCCGCGACAGGGCCGAGCUCCCGGUCCGAACCCGUCAGCUAACCCGGUAGGCGAUGAGGAGAGGAGAG